AAAGUCCCCAGUUGGGCCACGACGCCUGCGCCGACUGAAGACGUAGCCUCCCCACUCAGGCUCCGAGUUUAUUGCGCCUGCGCAGACGCCGGCCGCCUUCGUUCGUUUCUUUUCCUUUUCCACGUGACCCGGCGCUAGCGGUACACGUGUCUCCCCUCCCCCUCCCUCGGGCGGAGUGCGCGGAGGGGGCGGGCGCCGUGGAAUGUCUUUGUCUGCGCUCGGGCCCGCGGAGUGUGCGGCAGGAGACCUGUUAUUCGUGGGCCACGCCUCCUUCAACGGCCGAGCCUGGGGAGGUCCCGGGGGAACGGUGCUGCUGUGUGGUUCGGGGGCCGCCUCUCCAGCAAGGAAAUGAAAGGAACGCUUCUGGAGAGAGGGGAACGCGAGGAUUAGAGCAAAGCGAGGCCGAAAGAGAGGGAAAGACUGCGCGAACGGGAUGGGAAGAUGGGGAUGCUGGGAGAGGCUGACCCCGGGUGGGUGUGAGAAAGGGAAGCCAGGAAUGGGAAAUAGAAGACUAAAUGCUAUGUAUUGCAGAACUGAAACUCAGAAGGGGUCAGUCAGAGACGCAAACAACGGAAAAAAAGGGCUCCCUCCAUUCCCAAGUAGAGCAUCCAGGAAGUCAGACACCAAGAUUUCUAUUAGAGCAGGUUCAAAUUUGGGCUGGAGAGAUGGCUCAGUGGUUAAGGG
ensembl:lncRNA